rnacentral:rRNA from 1 species
UCUCGGGCCCGAGUUGUAAUUUGUAGAGGAUGCUUUUGAUGCGGUGCCUUCCGAGUUCCCUGGAACGGGACGCCAUAGAGGGUGAGAGCCCCGUCUGGUUGGAUGCCAAAUCUCUGUAAAGCUCCUUCGACGAGUCGAGUAGUUUGGGAAUGCUGCUCUAAAUGGGAGGUAUAUGUCUUCUAAAGCUAAAUACCGGCCAGAGACCGAUAGCGCACAAGUAGAGUGAUCGAAAGAUGAAAAGCACUUUGAAAAGAGAGUUAAAAAGUACGUGAAAUUGUUGAAAGGGAAGCGUUUAUGACCAGACUUGGGCUUGGUUAAUCAUCUGGGGUUCUCCCCAGUGCACUUUUCCAGUCCAGGCCAGCAUCAGUUUUCGCCGGGGGAUAAAGACUUCGGGAAUGUGGCUCCCUCCGGGGAGUGUUAUAGCCCGUUGUGUAAUACCCUGGCGGGGACUGAGGUUCGCGCUUCUGCAAGGAUGCUGGCGUAAUGGUCAUCAACGACCCGUCUUGAAACACGGACCAAGGAGUCGUCUUCGUAUGCGAGUGUUCGGGUGUCAAACCCCUACGCGUAAUGAAAGUGAACGCAGGUGAGAGCUUCGGCGCAUCAUCGACCGAUCCUGAUGUUCUCGGAUGGAUUUGAGUAAGAGCAUACGGGGCCGGACCCGAAAGAAGGUGAACUAUGCCUGUGUAGGGUGAAGCCAGAGGAAACU